rnacentral:rRNA from 1 species
AUUGAACGCUGGCGGGAGGCCUAACACAUGCAAGUCGAGCGAGUGGCGGACGGGUGAGUAAUGUAUCGGAACGUGCCCAGUAGCGGGGGAUAACUACUCGAAACAGUGGCUAAUACCGCAUACUAUUGGAGCGGCCGAUAUGGGAUUAGCUAGUGGGUGGGGUAAAGGCUCACCAAGGCGACGAUCCGUAGCUGGUUUGAGAGGAGGACCAGCCACACUGGGACUGAGACACGGCCCAGACUCCUACGGGAGGCAGCAGUGGGGAAUUUUGGACAAUGGGCGAAACCCUGAUCCAGCCAUCCCGCGUGUAUGAGAAGGCCUUCGGGUUGUAAAGUACUUUUGGCAGAGAAGCGGUAUCUGCAGAAUAAGCACCGGCUAACUUCGUGCCAGCAGCCGCGGUAAUAC